rnacentral:rRNA from 1 species
AUGAAGUGGCAGGCGUUCAUGUCCACGUUCGUGCUGAACAAGAUGUGUGAGCUCAUCUCUAGUGGAGCUAGGACUGACAAGGGCUUCAAGGAGGUGCACUUGAACACCGUUGCGAAGCAGGUGUUCGAGUUCUGUGGGCAAGAGGUGUCUGCCACCCUGCACAUCUUCUCCUUCGGGCUGGCAACUUGGAAGCAUGCCAUGGGCUCGGGUGAGCCUCUUGGUUCUCCCAUGCCAGACUUCCCUGGGACACUGGACGUCGAGGUCCUUGAUGGCCCUAACAAGCCCGCUGCGAAGCCCUUCGACAAGCCAUUUGACCCCAACCAUGAUAGGAAGAGGAAGAGAGGAGGUCUGAUGGAGGAGGAGAUCAAUGUCUUUUGCAGCAUGACUGAGACGGUGAAGGAGGUGGCAACAGCCAUCAGGGAGUGCAGGCCCCUGGAUGUCCACCCUGACCUGUAUGGCGCUGUCAUGACCCAGGAUGGAUUCAGCGACGAGGCUCUCAUGGCAGCUCUCAGCUACCUGCUUGACAAUAAGGCCCAGGGUGUUGGGUUCGUUGCCAUGGCCGACGCUCACAGGGGCAAGUGGUAUGCCGUGUUCAUCGGUGAGGUUCCAGGGGUUUAUAGUUCAUGGGAAGAAGCCAAUGCACAAGUGGCAUCGUAUAGCAACUGCAACUAUAGAGGGUUCAAAACUAGGCAGGCAGCAGAACAAGCUUACUCCGCUUGGGUGCGAAAGCACGGAGGCAGCAGUGUUGACAGUGCCAAGGUUGGAGCUGUCAAAGUGGAUGCUGCUAAGGUGGAUUGU